rnacentral:rRNA from 1 species
AUGGCAGGCACAAAACUAGUAGCUCUUAGUUUUAUUGUUCUCUUGAGCAUUGGAUUAGGCAAUGCUGCAAGGGUGACUAGAUAUGUUAGUAUCUAUGGAACGGGCUAUGGAGGACGGGAGGGCGGGGGUGAAGUGAGUGGUGAUGGCUGAGGUUCUGGAGCUGGGUCUGGGUCUGGCCAGAGUUCUAGCAGUGGUGUACAUGCAAACGGAGCCGAUGGAGGCAGAGGGGGUGGUAGUAGCCAAUACGGUGGCAUUGUUUCUGGGAGGGGAUCGGGUCUCGGUGCAGAGGCUGGUCAGUAUUGUGAAGGAAGAAAUGGGGAUGUUGGUGGAUUUUCUAGCACUGGUGGUACCGGCAGCGGCGUUGGUGGUGGACAACCGACCGGAGGUCAGGGAUCUAGUGGCCAUGGAUCAGGCAAAGGUAUUGCAUCCGGCUCUAGUGAUGCCACUAAUAACUACUACACUGGAAACAGUAAUGCAGAGGCACAUGCUAAUAGCUAUGGAGGAGGGGAGGGUGGGGGUGAAGUGAGUGGUGUUGGCUCAGGUUCUGGAGCUGGGUCUGGAUCUGGCCAUAGUUGUAGCAGUGGCGUACAUGCAAACGGUGUCGGUGCAGGCGCAGGGAGUGGUAGUAGCACUACAAAAAAAGACACAUCCAUGACAUUUUGGGCCGAACGAAUUUUUUUUCUGUCAUACAUAUGA